rnacentral:rRNA from 1 species
CCUACGGGUGGCAGCAGUGGGGAAUAUUGGGCAAUGGGCGCAAGCCUGACCCAGCAACGCCGCGUGAAGGAAGAAGGCUUUCGGGUUGUAAACUUCUUUUCUGGGGGACGAACAAAUGACGGUACCCCAGGAAUCAGCCACGGCUAACUACGUGCCAGCAGCCGCGGUAAUACGUAGGUGGCAAGCGUUAUCCGGAUUUAUUGGGUGUAAAGGGCGUGUAGGCGGGAAUGCAAGGCAGAUGUGAAAACUAUGGGCUCAACCCAUAGCCUGCAUUUGAAACUGUAUUUCUUGAGGUAUGGAGAGGCAAUCGGAAAUCCGGGUGUAGCGGGGAAAUGCGGAGAUAUACGGAGGAAAACCAGUGGCGAAGGCGGAUUGCUGGACAGUAACUGACGCUGAGGCGCGAAAGCGUGGGGAGCAAACAGGAUUAGAUACCCUUGUAGUC